rnacentral:rRNA from 1 species
GACGAACGCUGGCGGCGUGCCUAAUACAUGCAAGUCGAGCGGACGAUUCGAAAGCUUGCUUUUGAAUCGUUAGCGGCGGACGGGUGAGUAACACGUGGGCAACCUGCCCUGUAGACGGGGAUAACACCGAGAAAUUGGUGCUAAUACCGGAUAACACGAAAUGUCGCAUGACGUUUCGUUGAAAGGCGGCGCAAGCUGCCGCUACAGGAUGGGCCCGCGGCGCAUUAGCUAGUUGGUGAGGUAACGGCUCACCAAGGCGACGAUGCGUAGCCGACCUGAGAGGGUGAUCGGCCACACUGGGACUGAGACACGGCCCAGACUCCUACGGGAGGCAGCAGUAGGGAAUCUUCCGCAAUGGACGAAAGUCUGACGGAGCAACGCCGCGUGAGCGAAGAAGGCCUUCGGGUCGUAAAGCUCUGUUGUUAGGGAAGAACAAGUAACGUAGUAACUGACGUUACUAUGACGGUACCUAACGAGAAAGCCACGGCUAACUACGUG